rnacentral:rRNA from 1 species
AUUGAACGCUGGCGGCAUGCCUUACACAUGCAAGUCGAACGGCAGCACGGGAGCUUGCUCCUGGUGGCGAGUGGCGAACGGGUGAGUAAUACAUCGGAACGUACCCUGAAGUGGGGGAUAACGUGGCGAAAGUUACGCUAAUACCGCAUAUUCUGUGAGCAGGAAAGAGGGGGAUCGCAAGACCUCUUGCUUUAGGAGCGGCCGAUGUCGGAUUAGCUAGUUGGUGAGGUAAAGGCUCACCAAGGCGACGAUCCGUAGCGGGUCUGAGAGGAUGAUCCGCCACACUGGGACUGAGACACGGCCCAGACUCCUACGGGAGGCAGCAGUGGGGAAUUUUGGACAAUGGGCGCAAGCCUGAUCCAGCCAUGCCGCGUGAGUGAAGAAGGCCUC